rnacentral:lncRNA from 1 species
GUGCGACAGGACUCGGAUCUGGCAGCGCUGACAGACCCCAGGGCCUAGAAACCCAACCACGAGGCCCGGAAACAUCAGGAUGGAUUCAACAGGACGAUUUGGACUAAAUCCCAGAAAUUUCACUCAAGGAGGACUCAAAGCAGAUGCCAGGAAAACCUUUGCUCGAGUGCUUCCCAUUGUUUUCUUAUUCCCAUGGGAAUCCUAAGGGUCAAGAUGGAUCAUGAAAUGAUGCAAGAAGCCAGAGCAAAAAACAGGUCCAUGAGGACACUUUAUUCAAUAUUUUUCACUUGUUCAGUUGAAUGUAUUUGUGGAGUUAAUAAUAAAUAUAAAAUAUAAAUAAAAGGAAGUAUCAUGCUUGCAAGAAUAAGCGACAAACUUGUGUACUUAGCAUAGAAUGAAUCAAUAGUCUUCUCAUGGUAAGAAGAGAUUCAUAUAAACUAGGAGUUUG